rnacentral:rRNA from 1 species
GACGUAGGGCGCGAGCGUUGUCCGGAUUUAUUGGGCGUAAAGAGCUCGUAGGCGGCUUGUCGCGUCGACUGUGAAAUCCCGCGGCUCAACCGCGGGUCUGCAGUCGAUACGGGCAGGCUAGAGUUCGGUAGGGGAGAUUGGAAUUCCUGGUGUAGCGGUGGAAUGCGCAGAUAUCAGGAGGAACACCAAUGGCGAAGGCAGAUCUCUGGGCCGUAACUGACGCUGAGGAGCGAAAGCAUGGGGAGCGAACAGG